GCCAUAAUUUGUAGGUUUGGUCUUCUAGUUCCCUCAACAUUGAGGAAUGUUCAAACAAAGGGGACAAUUUAAGCAAUGUGAAAGCAUUUGCUUUUGCUGAAAAGCACUGACUCCUUCCUUGGGUACACAAAUUAACUGAACAAAGGAGAAAGACUUAGCAUCUCUGAUUCAGUUUUGUACCUGUUAUCCUUUGCUCUGAGUUAUUCUCUCCUGCAGUCACCUUGGAAUCAAGGAAGGAUGGGAAUGAUCAGUAGCAUCUUUGUGAGAAGGGACUGAAACGAUCCCUAAUGACAGUGGAGCCUUGGAGCACAGACCACCUUUCCAAAUGAGGACAGAUACCCAUAACAAUGAGGCUGCACUGUGGAGCAGGAGUAAGCACUUUUUGGGCACCAGAUUGCUCCCCUCAAGUGUUGGCGGCAGUAACAACUUCUCCAGGACCCUUUAAGAGCAAGGACUGAGACAACAUCCAACCAGAUCAACACCUAAGUGAGUAGUCUGACCUGACAUGUGGAAGCCCAGGAGUUUGGACCUGAGACCAUCACACUGUAAGGAAGUUUAAACUGGCUGUGUCAAGAGGAAGAGAGAUGUCUAGCCAGCGCCCAGGUGUCCUAGCCAUCUGACUGAGGGGCCAGACCUGUGAGUGAAGAAUCCUUCUGUGUAUUCCAGAACUGGGAAACAUUGCAUGUAGCAGCAGGGUUGUCCAUCCAUUCCAGGUGGCAGAGAACAAUUCAUGACAAACAGUUGCCAACUUACAAUAUUCAGCUGAUGAUUUUCCAGGUUUAAAAUGGUGCCAAAGCAAUGUACAUUCAGUGGAAAACACACUUGGCAUUUUGAAUUGGGAUCUUUUCCUGGAAUGUGGAAAAUUAGAGAGCUUCUCUCUAAUGCUGGGCAGCCACAAUGAGCCACAGCUCCUAGUCAGCACCAGGAUCCAGAGGGCAGCAUCUCAUACUCUCCAGUAUGCUGUGUUGCUAGCAUUUAACUGGAAAUUGUUUUGUAUUUUCACAUCCCAUCAUUAAGUUACACAGUAAGUUACACAAAAAGUCAUUACUUUUGCCCAGCACCAGUGGCUAACGCCUGCAAACCUAGGUACUCAGAGAUCAGGAGGAUCCAAGUUUGAGGCCAGCCCAGGCAAAAAGCAAGACCCUAUCUAACAAACACCCAACACACAACAAAAGGAGUAAUUGAGUGGCUCAAGUGGUAAAGCACAUGCCUAGCAAAUGUGAGGCCCUAAGUUCAAAUCCCAGUAACUUCCAAAAAACUCAGUAGUUUAUUCUCUGUUAGUAAUUCCCCAACUGUAGGCAAAUAUGUUUUGAUCAUGUGUAAGGUAGGCUAUGGUGUUUAAAUGCAUUUUUGACUCACAUAUUUUCACCUUGCAUUGGGUUUAUCAAGACAACCCCAUCAUAAAUGAAGAAGCGUCUGUCCUGAAAAGUUAGGUGUGAAGAAGUAAGAUUACCAGGAUCGAGAUGAUCCUGAUGUUUAAGGAUACAGCCAAGUGGAGAAUCUGUUGGGAUACAUGUACUUCUCCCCAUUUUGAUCUGAAGAAAGAAUAAAGGAGAAGAGAGAGAAGAAACACAACCCUUAGGAGCAGUCUCUACAGCACCCAAACGUGAUCAUCAACAGACUCUGUACCACCCGAGCAUGACUAAACGGUUCCAGUGAUGGAAACAGUGGACCAGGGCUACAUCAUCAUGGAACACAGUAGUAGGGCAGAGCUCCUGCAGUAUAUCCAACAGACCAACUGCCUGCAUGAGAAUGAGGCCCAUGGAGUAUACAAGCAGAUUGUGUGUGCCAUCAAAUACUGCCACAAAAAAGGCAUGAUACACACACACACGUGAAAUCUAACAUCCUGCUGCAUGCCCAAGGAUACAUCGAGAAGAGCGACUUUGGCUUUAGCUUCAGAUUCUGAUAGAGUUGUGUGCUGUUUUUUCAGUCCAUGCCACCAAACUCUUCCUGUACCACAAAUACAAUGGCCUGAGUGUCCCCCUGGACUACAUGGUCACAGCUGCCUUCCCAUUUAAAGGGAAGACAUUUUUGCAGCUGCAGCAGCAGGUCCUGCACCCAAGGUAUGGCAUACCAUCUUACCUCUCUGUGGAACUGCAAGACAUCAUCAUUCAAUUACUCACCCUCAGGCCUAGCGAGAAGACUGCCCUGGAGAACAUCAUGGGGAACCUGUGCCUCAGCCAAGUCUGACAAACGACAGUACUCAAAAACUUUGAAGACCUAUCUCUGGACCAAGCCAAACCCGGCCAAUGUGCUGAUCUAAUCAGGGAUGCAACCUCACCAUCUGUGAAAGGGACAAACAACUGCCUGACCCA